UACGUAGGGUCCGAGCGUUUGUCCGGAAUUACUGGGCGUAAAGAGCUCGUAGGUGGUUUGUCGCGCUGUUCGUGAAAUUCCCUGGCUUAACUGGGGGCGUGCGGGCGAUACGGGCAGACUGGAGUACUGCAGGGGAGACUGGAAUUCCUGGUGUAGCGGUGGAAUGCGCAGAUAUCAGGAGGAACACCGGUGGCGAAGGCGGUGCUCUGGGCUAGUACUGACGCUGAGGAGCGAAAGCGUGGGUAGCAAACAGG
rnacentral:rRNA from 1 species